rnacentral:rRNA from 1 species
UUGAUUACGUCCCUGCCCUUUGUACACACCGCCCGUCGCUGCCCGGGACUGAGCCAUUUCGAGAAAUUUGGGGACCGUUGAUUUAAUUUUUCUAAAUUACUUUGAUGGAAACC